UUAAAUCAACAUACAGGAGGACAAAACGAUGGCUAUUGUAGGUACUAUCAUUAAAAUCAUCAAAGCAAUUAUCGACAUUUUCGCAAAAUAAUUUAAGCGAAUUGAAUACUUAAAAUUCUCAGGCCACUAUACCAAUAGGGAUGGUGGCUUUGCUUU
rfam:Staphylococcus aureus subsp. aureus NCTC 8325, complete genome.